rnacentral:rRNA from 1 species
CCUACGGGAGGCAGCAGUGAGGAAUAUUGGUCAAUGGGCGUAAGCCUGAACCAGCCAAGUCGCGUGAGGGAUGAAGGUUCUAUGGAUCGUAAACCUCUUUUGUAGGGGAAUAAAGUGCGGGACGUGUCCCGUUUUGAGUGUACCCUAUGAAUAAGCAUCGGCUAACUCCGUGCCAGCAGCCGCGGUAAUACGGAGGAUGCGAGCGUUAUCCGGAUUUAUUGGGUUUAACGGGUGCGUAGGCGGCCGUUUAAGUCAGCGGUUAAAUUCUGUGGCUCAACCCUCGCAUUGCCGUUGAAACUGGGUGUCUAGAGUUGGUGUGAGGCAGGCGGAAUGCGUGGUGUAGCGGUGAAAUGCUUAGAUAUCACGAAGAACCCCGAUUGCGAAGGCAGCAUGCCGAGUCAUUACUGACGCUGAUGCACGAAAGCGUGGGGAUCAAACAGGAUUAGAUACCCCUGUAGUC